rnacentral:rRNA from 1 species
ACAGAUCGUUCAGAGUUUGAUCCUGGCUCAGGGCGAAAGCUGGCGGCGUGCUUAACACAUGCAAGUCGAACGAUGAAAUUCUGACGGAGGCUUCGGCCAACUGAAGGAUGGAUUAGUGGCGGACGGGUGAGUAACGCGUGAGUAACCUGCCUUUCAGAGUGGAAUAACAUUUGGAAACGAAUGGUAAUACCGCAUAACGUCAUGGGACCGCAUGAUCCUAUGACCAAAGGAGCAAUCCGCUGAAAGAUGGACUCGCGUCCGAUUAGCUAGUUGGAGAGGUAACGGCUCCCCAAGGCGACGAUCGGUAGCCGGACUGAGAGGUUGAACGGCCACAUUGGGACUGAGACACGGCCCAG